AUGGGGAGGCGUGGGAAGCUGGAGGUGAAGAGGAUCGUCGACGACGCUUCGCGGCGGGUGACCUUCUGCAAGCGGCGCGGCACCCUGCUGAAGAAGGCGCGUGAGCUAGCCGUGCUCUGCGACGACGACGUCAGCCUUGGCCUCGUCGUCUUUUCCAGUACCGGCAAGCUCGCCGGCGACUACUGCAGUCCGAAUACAAGCUGGAGUGAUCUCAUUCAGCGCUACGAGCGCGAGAGCACUCCCAGCACCCAGCUCCAGGUCCAGGACACAAACCAAGAUGGUGAUCAUCAUCAGCAACUGUUGGCGGAGGUGGCAAGGUUGAGGCAAGAGAUCGACCAUCUCGAGGGCAGCCUGAGGAGGCAGACCGGAGAAGAAGACCUGUUGUCAUCCGGCGUUACCGCGGCGGAGCUCCACGAUCUGCAGCACCACGUCGGGUCGGCACUGGGAAAAGUCCGUCAUAGAAAGGUGCACCUCCUGGAAGAAGAGAUGCUACUGGCCACGGCGGCGUUCCUGGAGGUGGAGGUGGACAUGGACAUGGAGGCGUCGACGUCACUGCAGCCGACGUUGCCAUAG
rnacentral:rRNA from 1 species